GUUGUGACAAUUUUACGUAGCUAUCCAUCUUAUUGCGUCGUGCUUACAUUAUUAAUAUUUAAUGAUUAGUGGCUUGUUAAGUGUGACAUUUAUAAUAUGAAAUUUGCAUUAUGUAAUGAAAUAAUGAUAUGUACUGUACAAUCACUGAUAUGUGCAAGUAAGAGUCCUGAACCUAUUUUUCAAAUAUAAUCUACUUUAUCUAUCUGAAGCUUCAAAAGCUCUCACUUAGUGGAAGUGUACAGUAUUGAACUGGCUUUGUUAUACGUUUUUUCCUAAUAGAUGCUGUAUGUAAUUUUUUAAUAGUUCAUGUUGUAGCAGCUUCAGUUAAAUGGUUUUUAGCAUUCUAAGAUUUUUUUUUAUAUCUACUCUCUAAUAAAAAUUCAUAUUGUAUAUAGUGGAUUAAAGUCAAUUGUCAGUAAAGUUUAGUAUUUCACAUGUAUUAUUUUGGUUUAAAGAGACUUUGUGUUAAUAUCUGUUUUACCAAGUUAUCUAUGUUGUUUACUAUGAUAGCAGUUGAGUUUAGAAUGGAAAACUUUGAUAACUGCUUGUCCAUAAUUAACUCUAUGUAUGUUAAUCAGCUACUGUCUAAAGUGGUUAUUAUUGUCAUGGUAAUAGCAAAUAAAAUAGUUACUUAAAGUUGA